rnacentral:tRNA from 1 species
GGUGGCUCACUGGUAGAGCACAUGCCUUGCAUGCAUGAGGCCCUGGGUUCGAUUCCUCAGCACCA